rnacentral:rRNA from 1 species
AACGAACGCUGGCGGCAGGCCUAACACAUGCAAGUCGAGCGGACCCUUCGGGGUUAGCGGCGGACGGGUGAGUAACGCGUGGGAAUAUGCCCUUCUCUACGGAAUAGUUCUGGGAAACUGGGGGUAAUACCGUAUACGCUCUUUGGGGGAAAGAUUUAUCGGGGAAGGAUUAGUCCGUGUUGGAUUAGGUAGUUGGUGAGGUAAUGGCCUACCAAGCCGACGAUCCAUAGCUGGUUUGAGAGGAUGAUCAGCCACACUGGGACUGAGACACGGCCCAGACUCCUACAGGAGGCAGCAGUGAAGAAUCUUAGACAAUAGGGGCAACCCUGAUCUAGCCAUGCCGCGUGAGUGAUGAAGGCCUUAGGGUUGUAAAGCUCUUUCAGCUGAGAAGAUAAUGGCGGUACCAGCAGAAGAAGCCAGGGCUAACUCCGUG